UACGUAGGGUCCGAGCGUUGUCCGGAAUUAUUGGGCGUAAAGAGCUCGUAGGCGGCCUGUCGCGUCGGAUGUGAAAGCCCGGGGCUUAACCCCGGGUCUGCAUUCGAUACGGGCAGGCUAGAGUGUGGUAGGGGAGAUCGGAAUUCCUGGUGUAGCGGUGAAAUGCGCAGAUAUCAGGAGGAACACCGGUGGCGAAGGCGGAUCUCUGGGCCAUUACUGACGCUGAGGAGCGAAAGCGUGGGGAGCGAACAGG
rnacentral:rRNA from 1 species